rnacentral:rRNA from 1 species
AACCUCCGCAAUGUGAGAAAUUGCGACGGGGGGAUCCCAAGUGCCAUUCUUAACGGGAUGGCUUUUCAUUAGUGUAAAAAGCUUUUGGAAUAAGAGCUGGGCAAGACCGGUGCCAGCCGCCGCGGUAACACCGGCAGCUCUAGUGGUAGCAAUUUUUAUUGGGCCUAAAGCGUCCGUAGCCGGUUUAAUAAGUCUCUGGUGAAAUCCUGUAGCUUAACUGUGGGAAUUGCUGGAGAUACUAUUAGACUUGAGACCGGGAGAGGUUAGAGGUACUCCCAGGGUAGAGGUGAAAUUCUGUAAUCCUGGGAGGACCGCCUGUUGCGAAGGCGUCUAACUGGAACGGUUCUGACGGUGAGGGACGAAAGUUAGGGGCGCGAACCGGAUUAGAUACCCGGGUAGUCCUAACUGUAAACGAUGCGGACUUGGUGUUGGGGUGGCUUUGAGCUGCUUCAGUGCCGAAGGGAAGCUGUUAAGUCCGCCGCCUGGGAAGUACGGUCGCAAGACUGAAACUUAAAGGAAUU